UUAAUGGUGUCUCUAGACACCACCUAUAUAUUGAAAUACUAGUUGU
rfam:Picea glauca, whole genome shotgun sequence.